rnacentral:rRNA from 1 species
UUUAACAAAACUAACAGCUCUUUCAAGAUUAUGCGGUAGGUGGUGCAUGGCCGUUCUUAGUUCGUGAAGUGAUUCGUUCGCCCAAUCGCAUUUCCAAACAACAAACAACUCAGAAUGCUGGGCAAUAGGACGUUUAAAGUGGCUCCUUACACCUUACAAAGGAAUGGCUGAUGAGAAACAACUCGAUCCGCUCAGCGUUCUAUUGGAAUGCAACGGACGUGAUUGCAAGCUUUUGUUUUGAGUUGCGG